GUAGUUAACCUAACCUAUGGAUGGGGAUAACCUCGGGAAACUGAGAAUAAUACCCAAUAGAUCACAGUGCCUGGAAUGGCCUGUGAUUGAAAUGAUUUAUCGCUGUAGGAUGGGACUGCGGCCUAUCAGCUUGUUGGUGAGGUAAUGGCCCACCAAGGCUAUAACAGGUACGGGCUCUGAGAGGAGGGGCCCGGAGAUGGGUACUGAGACACGGACCCAGGCCCUAUGGGGCGCAGCAGGCGAGAAACCUUUGCAAUGUGCGAAAGCACGACAAGGUUAAUCCGAGUGUCUCCUGCUAAAGGAGUCUUUUGUCAGUUUUAGAAUCACUGGUGAAUAAGGGGUGGGCAAGUUCUGGUGUCAGCCGCCGCGGUAAAACCAGCACCUCGAGUGGUCAGGAGGUUUAUUGGGCCUAAAGCAUCCGUAGCCGGUUGCAUAAGUUUUCGGUUAAAUCUAUGCGCUCAACGUAUAGGCCGCCGAAAAUACUGUGCAGCUAGGGAGUGGGAGAGGUACACGGUACUCAGUAGGAAGGGGUAAAAUCCUUUGAUCUAUUGAUGACCACCUGUGGCGAAGGCGGUGUACCAGAACACGUUCGACGGUGAGGGAUGAAAGCUGGGGGAGCAAACCGGAUUAGAUACCCGGGUAGUCCCAGCUGUAAACGAUGCAGACUCGGUGAUGCAUUGGCUUGUGGCCAAUGCAGUGCCGCAGGGAAGCCGUUAAGUCCGCCGCCUGGGAAGUACGUACGCAAGUAUGAAACUUA
rnacentral:rRNA from 1 species